CCUACGGGCGGCAGCAGUGGGGAAUUUUGCACAAUGGGCGAAAGCCUGAUGCAGCGACGCCGCGUGAGCGAAGAAGGUCUUCGGAUCGUAAAGCUCUGUUUUAAGGGAAGAUAAUGACGGUACCUUAAGAGAAAGCCCCGGCUAACUACGUGCCAGCAGCCGCGGUAAGACGUAGGGGGCAAGCGUUACCCGGAAUUACUGGGCGUAAAGGGGGCGUAGGCGGUAAAAGAAGUCAUCUGUGAAAACCUAUUGCUCAACGAUAGGCUAGCGGAUGAAACUGAAUUACUUGAGGGCACCAGAGGUAGACGGAAUUACCCGAGUAGGGGUGAAAUCCGCAGAUACGGGUAGGAACGCCGGUGGAGAAGUCGGUCUACUGGGGUGUACCAGACGCUGAGGCCCGAAAGCUAGGGGAGCAAACCGGAUUAGAUACCCCAGUAGUCAC
rnacentral:rRNA from 1 species